UUUAUUCUUGGCCUAAGGUAUAAAUAUCUCGGUUGUACAAGUCUACCAAACCAAGUUCACUAGUCAUUGACUCUGUGCUGUGAUAUCUUCCUUGUAGCCUAGACCCAACAGAAGAACCAUGUUCGCCUACGCCUUGUUGAUCUGCUUGCCAAUGUUGGCUUUCGGCCAAGAUUUUUUGGCCAACCAAGAGUUCAACAGAUUUGAUGUUGAUGGUGAUGGUAACAUUGAGCCC
rnacentral:sRNA from 1 species